CACGGACCCCGAGAUGGAAAACACCUGUUCCUGUCGGUCAGCAGGCUUGGCGCGCAGCCGGUCUCGUUUCCAUUUCCCGGACAGCUCCGCGCCCCUCCGCAGGAGGCCAUUUCUUCCUUCCUUCAUUCUCAGGACAUUUCUUCAACAUCUUCAAUCUCAUCUAAUCCUCGCCUUAGCCUCAGAGGAGGAAAUGAUUCUCUACUCACACAGCGGUUUCUGACCAGUGAGGUAUCAUAGUUCAGUGGUUAAGAGGCUUUGGGCUCAGAUAGGUGUGGGCUGGAAUUCUGUCUUUGCUGCUUCCUGGGCAAGUUAUUCAACUUAUGAAAACUUCAAAUUUGCUCAUUCAUUAAAUGGAGAUACUACUUACUUCAUAGAAUUCUUGUGAAGCACACUGUGAGUGCUGAAUAGAUGGUAGGAAAAGCUACUGAAGGCAAAUAUUGGGCGAAGAUCCAGGCAUGGGAUUUGGCUACUGUCCAAAAUAAGACGUGGAUAAUGACAACCAUAACUGUUUAAAGGAUGGGUCCAAGGUUGUGCAUUUCUAACAAACUACCA